UGCCAGCCGCCGCGGUAAGACGAGGGGUCCUAGCGUUGUUCGGAAUUACUGGGCGUAAAGCGGGUGUAGGCGGAUUCGCAAGUCAGAUGUGAAAUCCCGGGGCUCAACUCCGGAAUUGCAUUUGAUACUGCGGAUCUUGAGUAUUGGAGAGGAUAGUGGAAUUCCUGGUGUAGUGGUGAAAUACGUAGAUAUCAGGAGGAACAUCGGUGGCGAAGGCGACUGUCUGGCCAAAUACUGACGCUCAGACCCGAAAGCGUGGGGAGCAAACAGGAUUAGAUA
rnacentral:rRNA from 1 species